GAUGAACGCUGGCGGCGUGCCUAAUACAUGCAAGUCGAGCGAACAGACGAGGAGCUUGCUCCUCUGACGUUAGCGGCGGACGGGUGAGUAACACGUGGAUAACCUACCUAUAAGACUGGGAUAACUUCGGGAAACCGGAGCUAAUACCGGAUAAUAUAUUGAACCGCAUGGUUCAAUAGUGAAAGACGGUUUUGCUGUCACUUAUAGAUGGAUCUGCGCCGCAUUAGCUAGUUGGUAAGGUAACGGCUUACCAAGGCAACGAUGCGUAGCCGACCUGAGAGGGUGAUCGGCCACACUGGAACUGAGACACGGUCCAGACGCCUACGGGAGGCAGCAGUAGGGAAUCUUCCGCAAUGGGCGAAAACUUGACGGAGCAACGCCGCGUGAGUGAUGAAGGUCUUCGGAUCGUAAAACUCUGUUAUUAGGGAAGAACAAAUGUGUAAGUAACUAUGCACGUCUUGACGGUACCUAAUCAGAAAGCCACGGCUAACUACGUG
rnacentral:rRNA from 1 species